CCUUGGCCUUGGGAUUCCAAGGCAUUUCCUCGGGGUGACCAGCCCUGAACGCAGAGGACUCACCAUGGAGUUGGGGCUGAGCUGGGUUUUCCUUGUUGCUGUUUUAGGAGGUGUCCAGUGUGAGGUGCAGUUGGUGGAGUCUGGGGGAGGCUUGGUCCAGCCUGGAGGGUCCCUGAGACUCUCCUGUGCAGCCUCUGGAUUCACCUUCAGCAGCUACUGGAUGAGCUGGGUCCGCCAGGCUCCGGGAAAGGGGCCGGAGUGGGUUUCAGACAUUUCUGGUAGUACCAUAUACUACGCAGAUUCCGUGAAGGGCCGAUUCACCGUCUCCAGAGACGACGCCAAGAACUCGCUGUCUCUGCAAAUGGACAGCCUGAGAGCCGAGGACACGGCCGUGUAUUACUGUGCGAGAGAGAGACACGGUGCGGGGAGGUCAGUGUGA